GCACGGGGGGCAACCCCUGGUGGCGAGUGGCGAACGGGUGAGUAACAUAUCGGAACGUACCCUGUAGCGGGGGAUAACCUCUCGAAAGAGAGGCUAAUACCGCAUACGCUCUACGGAGGAAAGCGGAGGACCGCAAGGCUUCGCACUACAGGAGCGGCCGAUACCGGAUUAGCUAGUUGGCGGGGUAAUGGCCCACCAAGGCGACGAUCCGUAGCUGGUCUGAGAGGACGAUCAGCCACACUGGAACUGACACACGGUCCAGACUCCUACGGGAGGCAGCAGUGGGGAAUUUUGGACAAUGGGCGCAAGCCUGAUCCAGCCAUGCCGCGUGAGUGAAGAAGGCCUUCGGGUUGUAAAGCUCUUUCGUCGGGGACGAAACGGUUCGUGCUAACACCACGGACUACUGACGGUACCCGAAGAAGAAGCACCGGCUAACUACGUGCCAGCAGCCGCGGUAAUACGUAGGGUGCAGGCGUUAAUCGGAAUUACUGGGCGUAAAGCGUGCGCAGGCGGUUUGUUAAGACAGGUGUGAAAUCCCCGGGCUUAACCUGGGAACUGCGCUUGUUACUGGCAGACUUGAGUGUGGCAGAGGGGGGUGGAAUUCCACGUGUAGCAGUGAAAUGCGUAGAGAUGUGGAGGAACACCGAUGGCGAAGGCAGCCCCCUGGGUUAACACUGACGCUCAUGCACGAAAGCGUGGGGAGCAAACAGGAUUAGAUACCCUGGUAGUCCACGCCCUAAACUAUGUCAACUGGUUGUCGGGGAAGCAAUUCCUUGGUAACGAAGCUAACGCGUGAAGUUGACCGCCUGGGGAGUACGGCCGCAAGGUUAAAACUCAAACGAACAGGAAACAAGAAAGCCGCAUCUUUACACCACGAGUCUGUUCGACAGGAUCAGCUA
rnacentral:rRNA from 1 species